rnacentral:rRNA from 1 species
GUAGGGUGCGAGCGUUGUCCGGAAUUAUUGGGCGUAAAGAGCUUGUAGGCGGUUUGUCGCGUCUGCUGUGAAAAUCCGGGGCUCAACCCCGGACUUGCAGUGGGUACUGGCAGACUAGAGUGUGGUAGGGGAGACUGGAAUUCCUGGUGUAGCGGUGAAAUGCGCAGAUAUCAGGAGGAACACCGAUGGCGAAGGCAGGUCUCUGGGCCACUACUGACGCUGAGAAGCGAAAGCAUGGGGAGCGAACAGGAUUACAUACCCUGGUAGUCCAUGCCGUAAACGUUGGGAACUAGGUGUGGGUCUCAUUCCACGAGAUCCGUGCCGCAGCUAACGCAUUAAGUUCCCCGCCUGGGGAGUACGGCCGCAAGGCUA